rnacentral:rRNA from 1 species
UACGUAGGGGGCUAGCGUUGUCCGGAAUCAUUGGGCGUAAAGAGCGUGUAGGCGGUCCGGUAAGUCCGCUGUGAAAGUCAAGGGCUCAACCCUUGAAUGCCGGUGGAUACUGUCGGGCUAGAGUCCGGAAGAGGCGAGUGGGAUUCCUGGUGUAGCGGUGAAAUGCGCAGAUAUCAGGAGGAACACCAAUGGGCGAAGGCAGCUCGCUGGGACGGUACUGACGCUGAGGAGCGAAAGCGUGGGGAGCAAACAGG